AACGUACCCUGUGCUCUGGGAUAGCGUCUGAGGCUUCGGCUUCUUCCGAAAGGGGCGGUAAUACCAGAUAAUGUCCUUCGGGACCAAAGAUUUAUCGGCAUUGGAGCGGCCUAUCUCCUAUCAGCUUGUUGGUGAGGUAACGGCUCACCAAGGCAACGACGGGUAGCGGGACUGAGAGGUUGGCCCGCCACAUCGGGACUGAGACACUGCCCGGACCUCCACGGAGGGCUGCAGUAACGGAUAUUGGGCAAUGGGCGAAAGCCUGACCCAGCAAUGCCGCGUGCAGGAUGAAGCCCCUAGGGGUGUAAACUGCUGUCAGGGGUCAGAAAGCUGGUUUCGGCCAGUUGAUCAACCCCAGAGGAAGUCACGGCUAACUUCGUGCCAGCAGCCGCGGUAAUACGAAGGUGGCAAGCGUUAUUCGGAAUCAUUGGGCUUAAAGGGCACGCAGGCGGAACAGUGUGUGUUGUGUGAAAUCCCCCGGCUUAACCGGGGAAUUGCACAGCAAACUGCUGUUCUUGAGGCAGGUAGGGGUGCAUGGAACUCUUGGUGGAGCGGUGGAAUGCGUAGAUAUCAAGAGGAACGCCAGAGGUGAAGACGGUGCACUGGGCCUGUCCUGACGCUGAGGUGCGAAAGCGUGGGGAGCGAACGGGAUUAGAUACCCCGGUAGUCCACGCCGUAAACGAUGUCUACUAGGUCGUGGGUGUUCUGACACAUUCACGGCCGGAGCAAAAGUGUUUAGUAGACCGCCUGGGGAGUACGGCCGCAAGGUUAAAACUCAAAUGAAUUGACGGGGGCUCACACAAGCGGUGGAGCAUGUGGAUUAAUUCGAAGCAACGCGCAGAACCUUACCUGGGUUUGACAUGCUUGUAUGCCUUCUCUGAAAGGAGUUAGGCUGCCUUCGGGUGAAACUUGCACAGGUGCUGCAUGGCUGUCGUCAGCUCGUGUCGUGAGAUGUCGGGUUAAGUCCUUUAACGAGCGAAACCCUUGCCGUUAGUUGCCAGCGAGUAAUGUCGGGGACUCUAACGGGACUGCCGGUGUUAAACCGGAGGAAGGUGGGGAUGACGUCAAGUCCUCAUGGCCUUUAUGCCCAGGGCUUCACACGUGCUACAAUGGCAAUUACAGAGCGACGCGAUACCGCGAGGUGGAGCAAAUCGCAAAAAAAUUGCCUCAGUUCGGAUUGCAGGCUGGC
rnacentral:rRNA from 1 species